AAGAUCUUGCGCUUUUGGAGCGGCCGAUGUCUGAUUAGCUUGUUGGUAAGGUAAAAGCUUACCAAGGCUUCGAUCAGUAGCUGGUCUGAGAGGACGACCAGCCACACUGGGACUGAGAUACGGCCCAGACUCCUACGGGAGGCAGCAGUGGGGAAUUUUGGACAAUGGGGGCAACCCUGAUCCAGCCAUGCCGCGUGAGUGAAGAAGGCCUUCGGGUUGUAAAGCUCUUUCAGCCGGAACGAAACGGUUACGGUUAAUACCCGUGACUACUGGCGGUACCGGAAGAAGAAGCACCGGCUAACUACGUGCCAGCAGCCGCGGUAAUACGUAGGGUGCAAGCGUUAAUCGGAAUUACUGGGCGUAAAGCGUGCGCAGGUGGUUUUGUAAGUCAGAUGUGAAAUCCCCGGGCUUAACCUGGGAACU
rnacentral:rRNA from 1 species